rnacentral:rRNA from 1 species
GAUGAACGCUAGCGACAGGCUUAACACAUGCAAGUCGAGGGGUAACAGGGUAGCAAUACCGCUGACGACCGGCGCACGGGUGAGUAACGCGUAUGCAACCUGCCUAUAACUGGGGAAUAGCUCCCUGAAAGGGGAAUUAACACCGCAUAACACUAUUGAUUCGCAUGGAUUGGUAGUUAAAUGUAGCGAUACAGGUUAUAGAUGGGCAUGCGUGACAUUAGCUAGUUGGUGAGGUAACGGCUCACCAAGGCUACGAUGUCUAGGGGUUCUGAGAGGAAGGUCCCCCACACUGGUACUGAGACACGGACCAGACUCCUACGGGAGGCAGCAGUGAGGAAUAUUGGUCAAUGGGCGCAAGCCUGAACCAGCCAUGUCGCGUGCAGGAAGACUGCCCUAUGGGUUGUAAACUGCUUUUAUAGUAGAAAAACACAUCUACGUGUAGAUGUCUGCCAGUAUACUAUGAAUAAGCAUCGGCUAA